rnacentral:rRNA from 1 species
UACAGAGGGGGCAAGCGUUGUUCGGAAUUACUGGGCGUAAAGGGCGCGUAGGCGGCCUGUUAAGUCGAACGUGAAAUCCCCGGGCUCAACCCGGGAACUGCGUCCGAUACUGGCAGGCUUGAAUCCGGGAGAGGGAUGCGGAAUUCCAGGUGUAGCGGUGAAAUGCGUAGAUAUCGGGAGGAACACCUGAGGCGAAGGCGGGCUACUGGGCCGAUACUGACGCUGAUGCGCGAAAGCCAGGGGGCGAACGGG